UUAGAGAAGAUAUCAACAAUAUCAAACACAUAUAUCCUUAAAAUAUCAACUUUCUGCCUCUCUGAAAUUGGUGGACUAAUAUGAUUUAUAUUACAUACUUGUCUUUGAUUAUAUACUGAGUGAUAUUGUGUAAACCUUGUGUUCCACAGAACAAUCUGUCAGACUCUAUAGAGCUACGAGGGAGCAACAACGGGGAAAAGUGACAUGUUUCAAAAUUGACCAAUAGGGGGAGACAGCAGUCCAGAAACUUAUCAGUAAGCACUGCUUCGUUAUCAAGCCACUACAUAGAGGAAACCCUGUGACGGCCAGCACUGAGACAUCAGAGGUGUGGUUGGGCAUGUUCUCGCCUCCACAUCGUGACUGCGGAAGGUUUGAGUAGGCCCACGGACUGUAUUCCAGUUAAAUAUGGCCAGGGGAGGAGGGGUGGACGUGAAUCUCACAGCUUACACGGAGCACCCGGCUGUGGGCGAAGGUCUUGGGAAACUUCUCAGCUUGAGUUCGAGCCUUGGCGUCAAAAUUUUGAGGUUUCCGUUUUCACCGUCCUCUUUAUCAUCAUCGGAGCAUAAACUGAUUGACGACUAACCUGCAAUUAGUUUGACAAGACAACCCCCAUCUGAGUGGCCUGUGAUCAUCUGAAUGAGUCAAAGAUGUAUGCUCGCCAGAUCCUGCUCUAAAACACAAACAAUGAUGCUAUAUUAUGUUCUCUUAGCUUCUAGGUUAGGUUAAUAUGAAAUAUAGUAGAAAUAUGAUAUGAUGCAUAGGCUCUUUUCUCUUCCAUGCUGUUCAAAAUGAGAAGACAAGAGAACAUGUAAUUGAAGUUCUAUACAUGUAUGUUGAUCCUUUUGGGUCAGGAAACAAUAAUAAGGUAUAACAAGGGUAAAGGAAAUGUGUCUAAAUGUGUCCAUAUUUACUGUAACUGUAAGAGCAAUAAUUAAGCUAUUUCAACUUCUAGGCCUGUGACAAGAAAAAAAAACAAACAACUGGAUGAGGACCCAGUUUUAUCUUUUUAUUCAUACUAAUUGAGAACACCUGUGUUGGAAAACUGCAGGCAAUAUGGUGAUGUUUGUUUGAAGCAACAUCAACUGUUUUAGAUGGUAAUUAAGAUGUUUUAGGAAAGUCAUGAAGAAACUAAAACUGAGUUGGUAAAUUGCCAAAAAUUAAAAAAUAAAAAACAGUAGAUGCCAGUUGCACUUCUGUUUAAAAAAACAAUGUUGUUGAGACAAAAAUAGUAAAUUUCCCAUCCCAGGAGUUGUCUAGACUGCUUACUAUAGUUAUAAAUGUCCAAUCAGCCCAAGCAGAAAAACAUUAUUAUUAUUUAAGUUGUUUAAUUAUUGAAAGCCACACCACAUUAUUAGAUGUCUUUUUCUUCUGAUAUUGUCCAACCCUUUAUUAGACACUAUGCAAGUAUCAGGUAGGUGUUUUGGAGUGCUGUCCCGCAAUUGGAGACAUAGACUUGCACUAGUUGCUAAACACUACUGAAACUUUCACUUGAACUGUAUGCCACAAGCUAAAGUGAACAGAUUAAAUUAAGCUUUUUGACAUCAGUUUAACAACAGGCAAAUGUAAAGGAAAACAUGUCAAGCUCCCUUUUAAGUAUAGAAAAGGAUGAAGGUCAGAAGUUUAGUGAUAUUUUAAACUUAAAUAAUAAUAAUAUUGGUAGAAGUGCUCCUGUGUUUACCUGCUACUAGAUCAAUACCACAGCAUACAGUAUUCCAAGGC